AUUAAUUAAUAUUUAUGUGUUUACGUUUCCUGUGGAAGUUUGAAUCUCUCAGUCAGGGGGGAGAUUGACUGUCAAUCUGUACACUGUCUACUCGCCACCAAACAGUCAGUUACACAGAAACCUUUUAAAGUAAAUCUGACUGUCUGUCUGUCUGUCUGUCUGCUCUCAACCAAACAGUCAUUCAAGACCUUUUAAAGUUUAGUGCAAAUGUUUCCUGCGCAAGUUUGAAUCUCUCUCAGUCAGGAGGGAGAUUGACUGACAGACUGUCUACUCGCCACCAAACAGUAAUCUACACAGAAUCCUUUUAAAGUUUAGCACAAACGUUUCCCGCGCAAGUUUGGAUCUUUACCAUUGAGGGUGGCUGACUGUUCUCGACCAACCAUCAUUCACACGCAAAAACUUUAAAGAUAAGUAUGAACGUGCCCAGGGCAGUUUUCGAUCUUUACCAUUAAGGAGGCUGACUGACAAUCCUCUACCACCCGUCAUUAACACAACAAAAACUAAAGAAAUGUUACUCCAUAUGGACCUAUUCAUUUACUCAUUAUGCUGUGAGUACACCAAAGUUUUAUCAGAGAAAAAAUUUAUAUUUGUGUGUUUCUCACUGCUUGGCAAGGACAGAUGUGGCCCUGUUAAAAAUGUUUAAAUGUCGUUUGGUUUAAGGAACAGCACACUGAUUUUGUUUUAAAAUAUUCCUGUUUGGACAGUCUGUUAAAGUCAUAAAGGAAUACUUGAUAUAUUUCAUAAGUAAAGUGUAAAUGUAAUAUUAGUUUUUAAUGUUGUGAAUUUGGACUGAACAGCACACUUCUGUUUUAUAUCUAAGCCUUUUGUAAAAUAAAUGAUUG